UACGUAGGUGGCAAGCGUUGUCCGGAUUUACUGGGCGUGAAGAGUAUGUAGGCGGACAUUUAAGUAGAAAGUGAAAGGUUGGAGCUUAACUCCGACACUGCUUUCUAUACUGGGUGUCUUGAGUGCCGGAGAGGAAAGCGGAACGACACGUGUAGCGGUGAAAUGCGUUGAUAUGUGUCGGAACACCAAUGGCGAAGGCAGCUUUCUGGACGGAGCCGCAAGGCUUAAAACUGACGCUGAGAUACGAAAGCGUGGGUAGCGAACAGG
rnacentral:rRNA from 1 species